rnacentral:misc_RNA from 1 species
GUGAAUCAUCGAAUUUUUGAACGCAAUUUGCACUCCCUCGGAAGAGUAGGUCUGUUUGAGGGUCGGCUUAAAAAAAAUCAACAUAGUUGCUGUUUCGCGUUGACUUUCGUCGGAAAUUGGGUCAUCUUAAACCUUUGGUUUUUAAGCGGCUUAAAAUUUUCUUUACGAUUCCACGAAGGUUUCUAAGAUUUAACUCUUUAAACUUUAA